rnacentral:lncRNA from 10 species
ACACACACAACCAUACACAACCACACACAACACCAUAUAAUCACACACACAAUCACACAUACCACGCACCACACACCACACACAACCACACAACCACACACAACACAAUCACACAUACCACGCACAACCACACAUAACACACCACACAACCACACACCACACAUACCACACACAACCACACAUACCACACAACCACACACCACACGCACCACACACAACCACACAACACACCACACACCACACACAACCACACACCACACAAACAUACAACACACAACCACACACCACACACACAACCACACAACCAACCACACACCACACACACCCACACACACCAACACAACACACAACCACACACCACACACACAACCACACAACCACACACCACACACAACCACACACACAACCACACACACCACACACAGCUACACACACCACAUACACUACACACACAACCACACACACCACACACACACAACCACACAACGGUGUGGCUGAAGCCAGCAGAAAUGAAAAGUCCUCUGGUACCUCC